CCUACGGGUGGCAGCAGUGAGGAAUAUUGGUCAAUGGUCGGAAGACUGAACCAGCCAAGCCGCGUGAGGGAGGAAGGUACAGAGCAUCGUAAACCUCUUUUGCCAGGGAACAAAAACUGGGACUCGUCCCCUGCUGAGUGUACCUGGAGAAAAAGCAUCGGCUAACUCCGUGCCAGCAGCCGCGGUAAUACGGAGGAUGCGAGCGUUAUCCGGAUUUAUUGGGUUUAAAGGGUGCGCAGGCGGUCCGUUAAGUCGGCGGUCAAAGCCCGGGGCUCAACCCCGGCCCGCCGUUGGAACUGGGGGCCUCGAGUGGGAGAGAAGUAUGCGGAAUGCGCGGUGUAGCGGUGAAAUGCAUAGAUAUCGCGCAGAACUCCGAUUGCGAAGGCAGCAUGCCGUGUCCACACUGACGCUGAGGCACGAAAGCGUGGGUAUCGAACAGGAUUAGAUACCCGAGUAGUC
rnacentral:rRNA from 1 species